rnacentral:rRNA from 1 species
AGCAGCCGCGGUAAUUCCAGCUCCAAUAGCGUAUAUUAAAGUUGUUGCAGUUAAAAAGCUCGUAGUUGAAUUUCGGGGUCAGUAGGUUGGUCAUGCCACUGGUAUGUACUGGUCUCACUGAUUCCUCCUUCCUGAUGAACUGUAAUGCCAUUAAUUUGGUGUUGCAGGGAAUCUGGACUGUUACUUUGAAAAAAUUAGAGUGUUUAAAGCAGGCUAACGCCUGAAUACAUUAGCAUGGAAUAAUGAAAUAGGACGUUCGAUCCUAUUUUGUUGGUUUCUAGGAUUGACGUAAUGAUUAAUAGGGAUAGUUGGGGGCAUUAGUAUUCAAUUGUCAGAGGUGAAAUUCUUGGAUUUAUUGAAGACUAACUACUGCGAAAGCAUUUGCCAAGGAUGUUUUCAUUAAUCAAGAACGAAAGUUAGGGGAUCGAAGACGAUCAGAUACCGUCGUAGUCUUAACCAUAAACUAUGCCGACUAGGGAUCGGAUGAUGUUAAUUUUUAAUGA